CACCCCUCAAACUUCACUGUUUGUUGUUGGGCGCUGCCGGGGACGGCACGCCUAAAAAUCAGCGACGGUUCCAGCCAACCUCAAGCGUACAAGUAUCGUUAUGGUGGAAGGUUGGGGCUUGUCUUAACUAAACAUACCUAAA
rnacentral:misc_RNA from 1 species